CGGAGCUGUUCCUAUUCGGACAUCUUGGCUCCUCCCCAAGAGUUCUGGAGUCUGAGAAGUCAAGGAUCGGGGUGCUGGCCUAUUCAGUUCCUGGUAAGGGCUGUCUUCCUGGCUUGCAGUUGAACUACUUCUUGCUGUGUCUUCACAAGCAUGCCCCCAUCCUGUGCCGAUAAGAACUCCAGACCCCAAACUCAGCUCAUACACACACGGAAGAGAGAAGCAUCUGAACAUCAAGAAGAGAAGAAGCUGCUGGACAUCAGAAACUGUGAAAGGAGAGGAGUUUGGCUGAGCUCCAGGGGAAGACUGCCUGCACAUUCUAUCCCCUUUUCAGUUCCCCAUCCUGCUGUCAGCCACAUUUACCACUCAAUAAAAUCUUCACAUUCACCAUCCUUCAAGUCCGUGUGACCUCAUUCCUCUUGGGCACUGGACAAGGACCCAGUUGCGGGUGCAGUAGGCUGUCACACUGACUCUCCACUGAGCUGUUUAACACUUAAGUUGUCUGUAGACAGCAAAGCUAAAACAGCACACUGUAACACAUGCCCUCUGGGGCUCUAGAGGCUGUGGACAGCCCCUAGACGCUGCUGUGGGCUGGUAAGGAGUUUAUUCCUGCUGGUGCCCAAAGGCACUCACCCCAGCUCCUGCACCCACUCACCUACAUCUUCCCCCUCUUUCAAGGGGUUUGAGCACUGCAGGCUGAGUAAGCGAGCCAGCGCUUCACAAGCCCCAUGGGGUCAAGGGAACCCAUCUCACUACCCUAGCUCC
rnacentral:lncRNA from 1 species